rnacentral:rRNA from 1 species
AAAAUACAUGAUUCCCUANUACUGCGAGUGAAGAGGGACAGCUCAAAUUUUAAAUCCAUCGGGUUUUACCUGAUCGAGUUGUAAUUUGAAGAGGCGUUUUCUGUGUUUCUNGAUCAGUCCAAGUCCUUUGGGAUAAGGCAUCAUGGAGGGUGAGAAUCCCGUCCGGUUGAUCAGAUUCGCUUUACGAUACGCUUUCUAAGAGUCAAGUUGUUUGGGAUUGCAGCUUAAAAUGGGAGGUAAAUUUCUCCUAAGGCUAAAUAACGGCGAGAGACCGAUAGCGAACAAGUACCGUGAGGGAAAGAUGAAAAGAACUUUGAAAAGAGAGUUAAAUAGUACGUGAAAUUGUUGAAAGGGAAACGAUUGAAGCCAGUCGUACCUAUGGGUAAUCAGCCUUUUGGGUGUGAUUUUGUGGAGCGUGAGGAGUUAAACGCCUUCAUGCCUGCAUAUUCGUGCACUUUGGGUGUACUUGCCCGUAUGGUUGGUUAACAUCAAUUCUGGUGGUCAUAAAAUGACUGGAGGAAUGUAGCUUCGAUCUCGUAUUGAAGUGUUAUAGCCUUCGGUAGAUGUGAUGAUCGAGAUUGAGGAUUGCAACGGAUACCCUUCGGGGCUACCUGUCUGAUCUCUGAUCGUUGCUCUGGUGCCGAAAGCUUGCUUACGGUUAUCAAAGUCGAUGGUCAAUAGGUUAGAACGGGUUAAAUUCGUUAAGGAUGUUGACGUA